rnacentral:rRNA from 1 species
CACGUAGUUAGCCGGGGCUUCUUAGUCAGGUACCGUCAUUUCUUUCUUCCCUGCUGAUAGAGCUUUACAUACCGAAAUACUUCUUCACCCACGCGGCGUCGCUGGAUCAGGGUUCCCCCCAUUGUCCAAUAUUCCCCACUGCUGCCUCCCGUAGGAGUUUGGGCCGUGUCUCAGUCCCAAUGUGGCCGUCCACCCUCUCAGGCCGGCUACUGAUCGUCGCCUUGGUGGGCCGUUACCCCGCCAACAAGCUAAUCAGACGCGGGUCCAUCUUAUACCACCGGAGUUUUUCACACUGGGCCAUGCAGCCCCCGUGCGCUUAUGCGGUAUUAGCACCUAUUUCUAAGUGUUAUCCCCCUGUAUAAGGCAGGUUACCCACGCGUUACUCACCCGUCCGCCACUAAGAUGCCGGCACUCUUGGCGCUUAGUAAACUAACCGCCUCAAAAAUGGCAUCCCCGUUCGACUGCAUGUGUUAAGCACGCCGCCAGCUUCGAUCCGUGACGCCAGGGACUCGAAAACUCU